UGACCAAUCAAAGCUGUAAGAUUAUGUAGUAUAGGGGCGGGGCGUUUCUUUCCGUUAUACAUAAAUUAGGACUUAACAUCGCUUAGUUACGAGAUAGUGUAGAGUAGUUUUGCUUUAGUGUAGAGUAGUUUUGCUUUGGUGUGGAGUAGUUUGGCCGUAGUAUAGUUUGGUUUAAGUGCAGUGUAGUUUGGCCUUAGUGAAGUGUAGUUUGGUUUUGGUGUAGAGUAGUCUGGCUUUUAACAUACGUUAAUGCCUUUUUUAGGUUGUAUAGCCUUUUUCACUUUGGCAGGGGGACUGCCAAUGGAAACUAGCCUUUUGGCUAUAAUUGGGUGCAUUUACAUUUUAAUGUUCAUGAAUGUACACUGUCCCUCUUGAUCAAAUAAACAAAUUGAUUGAUUGGUGUGGAGUAGUCUGGCUUUGGUGUGGAGUAGUUUGGCCGUAGUAUAGUUAGGUUUAAGUGCAGUGUAGUCUGGCUUUGGUGUAGUGUGGUUUGGUGUAGUGUGGUUUGGUGUAGUGUGGUUUGGCCUUAGUAUAGUCUGGCUUUGGUGUAGUGUGGUUUGGUUGCAGUGUAGUCUGGCUUUGGUGUCGUGUGGUUUGGUGUAGUGUGGUUUGGUGUAGUGUGGUUUGGUGUAGUGUGGUUUGGUGUAGUGUGGUUUGGUGUAGUGUGGUUUGGUGUGGUGUGGUUUGGUGUAGUGUGGUUUGGUGUAGUGUGUCUGGCUUUGGUGUGGUUUGGUGUAGUGUGGUUUGGUGUGGUGUGGUUUGGCCUUCUCAGUGUAGUUCUGCUGUGACCCCCCAGGUGGAGGGGGGCGUGGAGCAGCAGGAGGACGAGGAGACUCUGGAGGUUUUGUCCGUGACUGAGGAAGACGAGCUCCCGACGGUUGUGACGCCGUCCACCUUCAUCGUGAGCUCUCUGAGCAGCCAGACCAGCGGCCGACCCCGUGACCUCUGGAACACGGACACUCAGGACCCCCACGUCCCUGAGCCCCUCCCCUCACCUGUGCCCCCCUCAAACCCGCCAGCCAGCCCCGGCAUGCC
ensembl:lncRNA